rnacentral:lncRNA from 1 species
CCAACCCUGAUGACACCUUGAUCUUGGACUUCACAGCCUCCAGAACUAACAUACUCAAGUGUCUCAGCUCAACAUUUGGAGAUGAGCCAUCCUCCUCUUAUUGUAAGAAAAGCUUGAAGGAGUAUUUUCACAGCGAUGGAACUGGAAGUUAAGGCAACUUCUAUCAGCAUCAAGAAAAGAAAAGAAGUAUUCACCACUUACGAAACAACAUCUCUCUUCUCAUCAAUAGUUUGAUUUACAGCAUCUACUGCAGAAGACCUCAAUAAUGCAUAAGAACAUCUGGAAGUACGGUAAUUUCAGCUAUCAGAGAUAAGAAUUGACACAGAACAGUUUCCUCACUGGAGAAAAUAAGCCUGGUUAUUUUUUGGCCUAUGUUGAAACAUCAUAAGUAGAAUGAAACAGCAUAAUUUUUUCCCCCUGGGGUUCAAGAGUUUAUUUCUUUUGAUACAACAAUAAAUCAACUGACGAAAUGGAAUUUCUUUGCAAUACAUAUGCAACAAGUUAGUUUGCAUGGACAAGUUGAGCUUCAGUUUAUAUAUAGACACUCUGGAACAUUUUAUUAUAAAGCAAUAGUGCUGGAAAGCCACUUAAAGGGGUAACUGCACCAGUAACUAUGAGAAGGAGAUAUAUGAUUAACCUAGUAGAACUUAAAAAGUGAUUUCUGCAGCUUUGAAAUCAUCUACACAUGAACUCAAGCAGCAAUACGUAUUGGUUUAGAUUCUGUGCUAUCAUUGGUACAUGGUACUACACAGUGAUGCUGUUUAAAUGAAGAAAUCUACUCUUCUAAAAAAUCUUUGCCACUGAUGCCACAUACAAAUACCGUAUGGACUAGCUCUCAGAGCCAAAGCAGGAAAAAUCGCCAAAGGGUACUAUUACUAUACCCAUUUGGCAGAGGAGGAAACUGAGGAAGAGAGAAGCUAAGACACUAUAGACAAACCUUUAGAAGAACAUUAGCCAGUAAGUGCAAGCUGGAUGACUGAGAAGAGUUGGGAACUGUGGCUAAAGGUACAGAGAGACACAAGCUGUUGUCAUGAGGUCAACUAGAACUAAUGAAAGAAAUUACUAAGUGUUGUAUUAAUAAAAGAAGACUAUGUAAAAAUUAAAUACUAAUAUAAUUAAGUGAUGUUACUCUGUACACUUGUCUUCUACCUCAACUUAAUAGUUUGUAGCCCCAGUGGCAAUAUAUUUUUGAACUGGAGACGAUCUUAAAGGUCAUCUAGUUCAGUGAAACACAACAUUUUUUCUGAUAGGAAAUGAAAGACAACACUCACUUGCAGAGCACAUCCUGAUAUGAAGAAACUGAAGGCUGGAGCGAUUAUCUCAAGACUUCAUAGAUAAUUAGUAGUAGGAUAAAGGCGCCAAAUCAGCUGUUCUGACUCCCAGAUCAAAUUAUUAAAUAUAUGCGUGGUGAAGAAUAGGGGAAAAAAGACAGUAUCUCUGAGGCCAUACUGCUAAAAUGCAUACUGGGGAUAUUGAUUGACUAUCUAUUAUGUCUCAAGCAUUAUAACACAUAGAACAGAUGUGACUCCAAUUAUCAUGGAUCCUAUGGCUAGCAAAGGAAAUGGGUCAGCAACAAUACAGUAGGCUCUUAUCCAUGGUUUCACCUGAGGUUUCAAUUACCUGCAGUCAACUGUGGUCUGAAAACAUUAAAUGGAAAAUUCCAGAAAUAAAUAAUUCAUAGGUUUUAAAUCCUAUGCCAUUUUGAGUAGCGUGAUGAAAUCUCCUGCCAUCCUGCUCUUUCCUACCUGGAACAUGAAUUACCCCUUUGUCCAGCAUAUCCACACGGUAUAUACUGCCUCCCAGUUAGUUAACAUUAUCUGCUCCUGACAUCCAGCCGAUAUUGUCAGGGCUCAGUGAUUCAGGAUCACCCAGAGCAGAUGAUCCUCCUUCUGAUGUAUCACCAGAAAGUCAAGAGUAGUCAAACGCUAUGUGACAAUGCCACUGUCAUUCACCUCACUUCAUCUCAUUAUGUAGCUACUUUAUCAUCUCACAUCAUCACAUGAAGAAAGGUGAAUUCAACAAUAGAUAUUUUGAGAGAGAG